AUCCCGCGAUCACUUCGAAGCAAGCGGUUCUCCUGAUCGGAUGUAAAAGUGAUUAAUAGAGCUCGAUAUACAAGUGUUAAUUUAAGUGUAAUAAAAAAGUUAAAAGUACUGAAAAAAGCAACUAUAGCAAUUUUAUAUAUGGGACCCAUUUAAGGAAAAGGUUUUUGCUUUUACGAAGAGCAAAUGCAAAACAAAGAGCGACUUAAACUAUUAAAGACAGUUCAGAAAACUGUAUCACUUGAUUACAAGGACUACAUUUACACCGUAUUGCUCACAUCUGUCAUCUUAAAUAAUUCGUGGACCGUCAUUAAAGGAACCAACAAGCGAAAGAAAUUAUCACGACUAUGACUCGCAGGAAAGUUUUGUACGCACAUGCAGACGUACGAAUGUGGGAAAA